UUUUUCAUUUGAGCGCCAGAUCCUAUGAGGAUGACGAGGUUAGUAGUUUAUCGAAAUAUUCGGCGGAUUCUACUACGGAUUUAAGUUAUUCGUUAGAUAUAUUUUAAAAAGUAAAAUCAAGAUUACAACAAAGAAAUAUAUCAGAACUAUU
rnacentral:ncRNA from 2 species